GGGCCGGUAGAUCAGUGGUAGAUCGCCACCUUCGCAAGGUGGAGGCCGCGGGUUCAAAUCCCGUCCGGUCCA
rnacentral:tRNA from 1 species